AUUGAACGCUGGCGGCAUGCCUUACACAUGCAAGUCGAACGGUAACAGGUUAAGCUGACGAGUGGCGAACGGGUGAGUAAUAUAUCGGAACGUGCCCAAUCGUGGGGGAUAACGCAGCGAAAGUUGUGCUAAUACCGCAUAAGAUCUACGGAUGAAAGCGGGGGAUCGCAAGACCUCGCGCGAGUGGAGCGGCCGAUAUCAGAUUAGCUAGUUGGUGGGGUAAAGGCCCACCAAGGCGACGAUCUGUAGCUGGUCUGAGAGGACGACCAGCCACACUGGAACUGAGACACGGUCCAGACUCCUACGGGAGGCAGCAGUGGGGAAUUUUGGACAAUGGGCGCAAGCCUGAUCCAGCAAUGCCGCGUGCAGGAUGAAGGCCUUCGGGUUGUAAACUGCUUUUGUACGGAGCGAAACGGUCUGCCCUAAUACGGUGGGCUAAUGACGGUACCGUAAGAAUAAGCACCGGCUAACUACGUGCCAGCCGCCGCGGUAAUACC
rnacentral:rRNA from 1 species